AAACCCUAAGGGGAUGAUGUGUA
rnacentral:siRNA from 1 species